CCUACGGGAGGCAGCAGUGAGGAAUAUUGGUCAAUGGGCGGGAGCCUGAACCAGCCAAGUCGCGUGAAGGAAGAAGGUACUUAGGAUUGUAAACUUCUUUUGUCGGGGAACAAAGGCGGAGACGCGUCUCCGGAUGAGUGUACCCGAAGAAAAAGCAUCGGCUAACUCCGUGCCAGCAGCCGCGGUAAUACGGAGGAUGCGAGCGUUAUCCGGAUUUAUUGGGUUUAAAGGGUGCGCAGGCGGGAGAUCAAGUCAGCGGUAAAAUGUCGGGGCUCAACCCCGGCCGGCCGUUGAAACUGGUUUUCUAGAUUUGGCUCGCAGUAUGCGGCAUUCGUGGUGUAGCGGUGACAUGCAUCGCUAUCAC
rnacentral:rRNA from 1 species